GACGUAGGGGGCCAGCGUUGUUCGGAAUUACUGGGCGUAAAGGGUUCGUAGGCGGUGCGGCAAGUUGGGAGUGAAAUCUCUGGGCUUAACCCAGAGGCUGCUUCCAAAACUGCUGUGCUUGAGUGUGGGAGAGGCGCGUGGAAUUGCAGGUGUAGCGGUGAAAUGCGUAGAUAUCUGCAGGAACACCCGUGGCGAAAGCGGCGCGCUGGACCACUACUGACGCUGAGGAGCGAAAGCGUGGGGAGCAAACAGG
rnacentral:rRNA from 1 species